AAUCAAAUUCCAAUAUGGCUAUAGUAAAGGAUCUACUGAGAUUAGUCUCAGUAGAUCCUUUACUAUAGCCAUAUUGGAAUUUGAU